rnacentral:rRNA from 1 species
UACGGAGGGUGCAAGCGUUGUCCGGAUUUAUUGGGUUUAAAGGGUGCGUAGGCGGUUUUUUAAGUCAGUGGUGAAAUCCUGCAGCUCAACUGUAUGAACUGCCAUUGAUACUGAAAAACUUGAGUACAGACGAGGUAGGCGGAAUUUAUGGUGUAGCGGUGAAAUGCAUAGAUACCAUAAAGAACACCGAUUGCGAGGGCAGCUUACUAGGCUGUAACUGACGCUGAGGCACGAAAGUGUGGGGAUCAAACAGG